rnacentral:rRNA from 1 species
UACAGAGGGGGCAAGCGUUUGUUCGGAAUUACUGGGCGUAAAGGGCGCGUAGGCGGCCCGCUAAGUCGAACGUGAAAUCCCCGAGCUCAACUCGGGAACUGCGUCCGAUACUGGCGGGCUUGAAUCCGGGAGAGGGAUGCGGAAUUCCAGGUGUAGCGGUGAAAUGCGUAGAUAUCUGGAGGAACACCGGUGGCGAAGGCGCAUCCUGGACCGGCAUUGACGCUGAGGAGCGAAAGCCAGGGGAGCAAACGGGG